GGCUCGGUAGCUUAGUUGGUUAAGCGCUCGUCUAGCAUACAAGAGUCCUGGGUUCAAAUCCCAGCCGAGCAC
rnacentral:tRNA from 1 species